rnacentral:rRNA from 1 species
AUUGAACGCUAGCGGCAGGCCUAAUACAUGCAAGUCGAGGGAGAAUGUUGGAUUCGUCUGACAUGAGACCGGCGCACGGGUGCGUAACACGUAUGCAACCUACCUUUAACUGGGGUAUAGCUCAGAGAAAUCUGAAUUAAUCCCCCAUAAGACUACGACAUGGCAUCAUGAUGUAGUUAAAGCUCCGGCGGUUAAGGAUGGGCAUGCGGUACAUUAGCUAGUUGGUGAGGUAAUGGCUCACCAAGGCUACGACGUAUAGGGGGUCUGAGAGGAUGAUCCCCCACACUGGUACUGAGACACGGACCAGACUCCUACGGGAGGCAGCAGUAGGGAAUAUUGGUCAAUGGACGCAAGUCUGAACCAGCCAUGCCGCGUGAAGGAUGAAGGCCCUAUGGGUCGUAAACUUCUUUUAUUAGGGAAGAAAAAACGGGAUGCGUCCUGUACUGACGGUACUUAAUGAAUAAGGAUCGGCUAACUUCGUGCCAGCAGCCGCGGUAA